UGAAUACGAGAUGCUACGGCAUCGAAGCAGUCUAUGUCAUACUUCCAAGAAAAGCUUGCACUGUCAUAAACAAAUAAUGCCUGUACCAUAACCGACACAGGUGGGUAGGUAGAGUAUACUAAGGGGCGCGAGAUAACUCUCUCUAAGGAGCUCGGCAAAAUGACUCCGUAACUUCGGGAGAAGGAGUGCCUUAUUUUAUAAGGUUGCAAUAACAAGAUCCAAGCAACUGUUUACCAAAAACACAGGUCUCCGCUAAGUCGUAAGACGAUGUAUGGGGGCUGACGCCUGCCCAGUGCCAGAAGGUUAAAGAAGUUGGUUAGCAUUAGCGAAGCUGAUAACUGAAGCCCUGGUGAACGGCGGCCGUAACUAUAACGGUCCUAAGGUAGCGAAAUUCCUUGUCGGGUAAGUUCCGACCCGCACGAAAGGCGUAAUGAUUUGGAUACUGUCUCGGAGAGGGGCUCGGUGAAAUAGACUUGUCUGUGAAGAUGCGGACUACCUGCACCAGGACAGAAAGACCCUAUGAAGCUUUACUGUAACUUGAGAUUGAAAUUGGACUUUAUUUGCGCAGUAUAGGUGGGAGACGUUGAAAAUAUUCUUGCGGGAAUAUUGGAGUCAUCAGUGAGAUACCACUCUUAUAAUGUUAGAUUUCUAACUUUGUAUCAUUAUCUGGUCAAAGAACAGUCUCAGGCGGGCAGUUUGACUGGGGCGGUCGCCUCCCAAACGGUAACGGAGGCGCACAAAGGUUUCCUCUGAACGUGUAGAAAUCGUAUCUAGAGUGUAAAGGCAUAAGGAAGCUUGACUGUGAGACCUACAAGUCGAGCAGGGACGAAAGUCGGUCUUAGUGAUCUGACGGUGCUGAGUGGAAAGGCCGUCACUCAACGGAUAAAAGUUACUCUAGGAUAACAGGCUGAUCUCCCCCAAGAGUUCACAUCGACGGGGAGGUUUGGCACCUCGAUGUCGGCUCAUCGCAUCCUGGGGCGGUAGUACGUCCCAAGGGUUGGGCUGUUCGCCCAUGAAAGCGGUACGCGAGCUGGGUUCAGAACGUCGUGAGACAGUUCGGUCCAUAUCCGGUGUAGGCGUUAGAAUAUUGAGAGGAGCCUUCUUUAGUACGAGAGGACCGAGAAGGACAUACCUCUGGUGUACCAGUUAUCGUGCCAACGGUAAACGCUGGGUAGCUAUGUAUGGAGAGGAUAACCGCUGAAAGCAUCUAAGUGGGAAGCCCACCUCAAGAUAAGUAUUCUC
rnacentral:rRNA from 1 species